GUCAUAUGGAAGCAGAGGAACAGGAGGAGAGGUCUGGGAGCUGUGUGGGGGUGGAGGGAUAAAAUGGUGAUGGGAGGGUACCUGGAAGUAAAAUGGGAAUAGGGCCUCAUGGGGAAGUUUGUCACAUCCCCAAAACUCACCUUUUUCAUGAGCCUGUUCUGGGUUAAAAGAGCAAGACAUGUCUAGUCUUCGCCUCUGUUUGUCUGGAAAUGUGGGUUUCCCUGUUUCCUCACAACAGGGGUGCCUAGACCUCCAGACAUAAACAAUGCAGCCCACAACCCAGUGUUGCUCAGUUAGGUUUGAGCCACAGCACCCCGCCAGCCUUACUGAAAGCCGGACCUCCCUCAGCGAACCCGUUUUGAAUUCCAAAGUUAACAGGAAACAUCUAAGAAAAUAAACCCAGGCAGAAAUAACUGUUAGAGGAAACAUAAUUGCUCUACUUUUUCUGGGGGGAUUAGGUACCUAGAGAAAGCCCUUCUCAAUCAGAAUGAAACAGGUGGCUCUGCCAUAUCUUGAACAGUACCUGAGCCAAUGCUUUUUCCUUCUUCUUUCUCUCCUUUCCCUCCCCUAGCCCAUCCCUGCCUCCAAGUAAGAUCCUGAUGUUAGCUGCCCAAAUGGUUAAGUGUUAACCACUGUUUCCUCUAAGACUAUGGAAAACAAGUGAUAUUGAUCUAAGCCUGUAAAAUAAGAGGAAGGAUGGCGCCAGCUACUCCCUGAGCUGAUGGGAUAAUGGCAGGAAAAGAUCAACAUGUUUGAGAUAGGACCACCAAAACCAAACAGAAGAAAGACAGUGCACAUUCCACAAGUUCCUAAAACUUAUGGCCCUUUUCCCCUUAAAAAGCCAAACCAUCGGUAGUCUGGUGAGACAGACGACUUUAGGAGGAGAUCAUUCCUCUCUGUCUCCAUAUACCGGUAUAUCUCAUAAAGCUCUUGCUACCCACCUUACCCCCUCUCAAGAACUGGCUAUUUGCGGCAGGCGGCUCUAACUCGCGAAAUUGCCGUAACAAUUUGGUGGCCCCUACGGGGACUCCAGCUGUUUGAGACGCGGUGGCCCCGCGGCAGGGCCCGGGCCUAAUCGACAGUUCUCCUACCAAGCGGCCGCUGAGGACUCUGUCCCCGGAGGCUGUCCCCUGACCCGGCUCCCCUGCAGCGCCACCGGUCCCCAAGCGCGCCAAAGAGGUGGGUGAAGGCAAGACUUAAACAGGAUCCUGAGAAUACCUCAACUAAAAAAGAUGGACUUAUUGGACUUAUGAAAAAGACUGUGACUGGACUCAAUCAAGAUUUCUAGAACCUCUAUGUAGAAGCCGAUGGUUUUACAGACUGCAGUGGAUCCAGGAUCACUUGCAACAGAAGUUAACUACGGGGAAAAACACACAAGACUGAGAUAACUGAACAAAUCUUUGGUCCGCCUCAAAGAGGAGUCAAAAUUCCUGAAAAUCUCUAAACCCUGAGAGAAACCAGGGUGGGGUGAAGAGACUGGCAAGACUCCCCGAUGACAUGAAGAGACUUACAAGGCCUCAAUGAUAGAUCACUUUAUCAACAUGUCCAACUCAAAGAUAAGUCAGGAUUCCUGGAAAUCUCUAAACCCUGACCUUCCCCCUACAAAACCCUCCAGUUAGCCCUUUAAUGUUAGACAGAAUUUGGGAGAAAUUUAACCCCCUUUCUCUCUUGGACACCGGUGUUCAAUAAAG